rnacentral:lncRNA from 1 species
AAAAAUGAUGAAAAGUGGUUCUGUCACCACUUUUCAUUCAGGAAGAGUACUAAGUGACGGGGCGAAACAAGCCCUUCCACAUGCUCCCCACUCCUAUGGAGGAGUCAGCCGGAUUGUAAAAUAUGGGGAGAGACGGGCCGGGCUUGGAUUCCAUGAUAAAUAUUUUCAAGGGGAUAGGACCCGCGACUCGAACCCGAAUCUUCUAGAGUGAAAGAGUAAGUGUUUCCACGUAGCCAAUCCGGCCGACGAUUGUAGUGAGUUUGGAGGAAGGAUUUGAAUGAUAUCAUUUUUGUAAUAAGAUAAGAUGUCUCCUCUUGUUCAGUUAAACUGAACAAGAGGAGCCUAGGAGUAAGACGUAGUUCUUUGUUUCCCUUGUCUGUAUUAACUGAUGCAAGUUCGCUUGGUUCUAAUUCCUUAAUCUCGAGCAACGCGGAAAAAAAAAAAUAAUUAUUUUAAACCAGGGCAUUUGAACUUUACAAAAUAAUCUAUAUUUCCUAUGUAAAUUUCAGAAACAACCGGCGAACCAUUGUAAGUUUCGGGGUUCGUUAGUCGACAGUCGAGCGUGAGUCA